GGUGCUUGCACUGUUCCCUGAAAGCGGCGAACGGGUGAGUAACACGUGAGUUACCUGCCCCUCGGUGAGGGAUAACGUCGGUUCUUCGGAACCUAGCGAAAGCGGCGCUAAUACCUCAUGAGAACUACGGUUGAAAGCGGGGGACUCCUUCGGGGGCCUCGCGCCGGGGGAUGGGCUCGCGCCCGAUUAGCUUGUUGGCGGGGUAACGGCCCACCAAGGCGACGAUCGGUAGCUGGCCUGAGAGGGUGGUCAGCCACACUGGGAUUGAGAUACGGCCCAGACUCCUACGGGAGGCAGCAGUCUAGAAGCUUGGACAAUGGGGGAAACCCUGAUCCAGCGACGCCGCGUGGGGGAUGAAGGCCCUCGGGUUGUAAACCCCUUUUAGUGGGAAAGAAAGGUUGGGGUGCCAAUACCACCUCUUCUUGACGGUACCCACAGAAGAAGCCCCGGCUAACUCCGUGCCAGCAGCCGCGG
rnacentral:rRNA from 1 species